rnacentral:rRNA from 1 species
AAUAUUUGACAAUGUGGGCAACCCUGAUCCAGCCAUGCCGCGCGUGUGAAGAAGCUCUUCGGAUUGUAAAGCACUUUAAGUUGGGAGGAAGGGCUUUAGGUUAAUACCUUGAAGUUUUGACGUUACCAACAUAAUAAGCACCUGCUAACUCUGUCCUAGCAGCCGCGGUAAUACAGAGGGUGCAAGCGUUAAUCGGAAUUACUGGGCGUAAAGCGCGCGUAGGUGGUUCAGUAAGAUGGGUGUGAAAUCCACGGGCCUAACCUGGGAACUGCUUUCAUAACUGCUGAGCUAGAGUACGAUAGAGGGUAGUGGAAUUUCCUGUGUAGCGGUGAAAUGCGUAGAUAUAGGAAGGAACACCAGUGGCGAAGGCGACUACCUGGACUGAUACUGACACUGAGGUGCGAAAGCGGGGGGAGCAAACA